UUCCUCGAGUCGUUGAUUUCACACUGCCGAGAAAAGCCUCUAGCUAGAAAGUUGGUGCCCGUACCGCAAACCGACACAGGUAGUCAAGAUGAGAAUUCUAAGGUGAGCGAGCGAACUCUCGUUAAGGAACUCGGCAAAAUGACCCCGUAACUUCGGGAGAAGGGGUGCUCUUUAGGGUUCACGCUCUGAAGAGCCGCAGUGAAUAGGCCCAAGCGACUGUUUAUCAAAAACACAGGUCUCUGCUAAACCGUAAGGUGACGUAUAGGGGCUGACGCCUGCCCGGUGCUGGAAGGUUAAGAGGAGUGGUUAGCUUCAGCGAAGCUACGAAUCGAAGCCCCAGUAAACGGCGGCCGUAACUAUAACGGUCCUAAGGUAGCGAAAUUCCUUGUCGGGUAAGUUCCGACCCGCACGAAAGGCGUAACGAUUUGGGCACUGUCUCAACGAGAGACUCGGUGAAAUCAUAGUACCGGUGAAGAUGCCGGUUACCCGCGACAGGACGGAAAGACCCCGUGGAGCUUUACUGUAGCCUGAUAUUGAAAUUCGGUACAGUUUGUACAGGAUAGGUAGGAGCCAUUGAAGCGUGAGCGCUAGCUUACGUGGAGGCAUUGGUGGGAUACUACCCUAAUUGUAUUGGAUUUCUAACUCGCAGCACUUAUCGUGCUGGAAGACAGUGUCAGGCGGGCAGUUUGACUGGGGCGGUCGCCUCCUAAAGUGUAACGGAGGCGCUCAAAGGUUCCCUCAGAAUGGUUGGAAAUCAUUCAUAGAGUGUAAAGGCAUAAGGGAGCUUGACUGCGAGACCUACAAGUCGAGCAGGGUCGAAAGACGGACUUAGUGAUCCGGUGGUUCCGCAUGGAAGGGCCAUCGCUCAACGGAUAAAAGCUACCCCGGGGAUAACAGGCUUAUCUCCCCCAAGAGUUCACAUCGACGGGGAGGUUUGGCACCUCGAUGUCGGCUCAUCGCAUCCUGGGGCUGUAGUCGGUCCCAAGGGUUGGGCUGUUCGCCCAUUAAAGCGGUACGCGAGCUGGGUUCAGAACGUCGUGAGACAGUUCGGUCCCUAUCCGUCGUGGGCGUAGGAAAUUUGAGAGGAGCUGUCCUUAGUACGAGAGGACCGGGAUGGACAUACCUCUGGUGUACCAGUUGUCGUGCCAACGGCAUAGCUGGGUAGCUAUGUAUGGACGGGAUAAGUGCUGAAAGCAUCUAAG
rnacentral:rRNA from 1 species